rnacentral:rRNA from 1 species
AUUGAACGCUGGCGGCAGGCCUAACACAUGCAAGUCGAACGAGUGGCGGACGGGUGAGUAAUGUCUGGGAAACUGCCCGAUGGAGGGGGAUAACUACUGGAAACGGUAGCUAAUACCGCAUACCAUCGGAUGUGCCCAGAUGGGAGUAGCUUGUAGGUGAGGUAACGGCUCACCUAGGCGACGAUCACUAGCUGGUCUGAGAGGAUGACCUGCAACACGGGAAAUGAGCCACGGUCCAGACUCCGACGGGAGGCAGCAGUGGGGAAUAUUGCACAAUGGGUGCAAGCCUGAUGCAGCCAUGCCGGGGGGAUGAAGAAGGCCUUCGGGUUUUAAAGUACUUGAAGCGGGGAGGCGUUACCCGCAGAAGAAGCACCGGCUAACUCCGUGCCAGCAGCCGCGGUAAUAC